GAUUCACUAGCUCAGUCGGUAGAGCACUUGACUUUUAAUCAAGGUGUCCGGGGUUCGAUUCCCCGGUGAGUCA
rnacentral:tRNA from 1 species